GACAAGAUGGCCGAGUGGUUAUGGCGUGUGACUCAAGCGAAAGCUUACCUCUUUCGGAGGUGUAUUCUCAUGGGCUUUGCCCGCGUGGGUUCGAAUCCCACUCUUGUCA